rnacentral:rRNA from 1 species
AGAGUUUGAUCAUGGCUCAGAUUGAACGCUGGCGGCAGGCCUAACACAUGCAAGUCGAGCGGUAGCACAGAGAGCUUGCUCUCGGGUGACGAGCGGCGGACGGGUGAGUAAUGUCUGGGAAACUGCCUGAUGGAGGGGGAUAACUACUGGAAACGGUAGCUAAUACCGCAUAACGUCGCAAGACCAAAGUGGGGGACCUUCGGGCCUCAUGCCAUCAGAUGUGCCCAGAUGGGAUUAGCUGGUAGGUGGGGUAACGGCUCACCUAGGCGACGAUCCCUAGCUGGUCUGAGAGGAUGACCAGCCACACUGGAACUGAGACACGGUCCAGACUCCUACGGGAGGCAGCAGUGGGGAAUAUUGCACAAUGGGCGCAAGCCUGAUGCAGCCAUGCCGCGUGUGUGAAGAAGGCCUUCGGGUUGUAAAGCACUUUCAGCGGGGAGGAAGGCGGUGAGGUUAAUAACCUCAUCGAUUGACGUUACCCGCAGAAGAAGCACCGGCUAACUCCGUGCCAGCAGCCGCGGUAAUACGGAGGGUGCAAGCGUUAAUCGGAAUUACUGGGCGUAAAGCGCACGCAGGCGGUCUGUCAAGUCGGAUGUGAAAUCCCCGGGCUCAACCUGGGAACUGCAUUCGAAACUGGCAGGCUAGAGUCUUGUAGAGGGGGGUAGAAUUCCAGGUGUAGCGGUGAAAUGCGUAGAGAUCUGGAGGAAUACCGGUGGCGAAGGCGGCCCCCUGGACAAAGACUGACGCUCAGGUGCGAAAGCGUGGGGAGCAAACAGGAUUAGAUACCCUGGUAGUCCACGCUGUAAACGAUGUCGAUUUGGAGGUUGUGCCCUUGAGGCGUGGCUUCCGGAGCUAACGCGUUAAAUCGACCGCCUGGGGAGUACGGCCGCAAGGUUAAAACUCAAAUGAAUUGACGGGGGCCCGCACAAGCGGUGGAGCAUGUGGUUUAAUUCGAUGCAACGCGAAGAACCUUACCUGGUCUUGACAUCCACAGAACUUAGCAGAGAUGCUUUGGUGCCUUCGGGAACUGUGAGACAGGUGCUGCAUGGCUGUCGUCAGCUCGUGUUGUGAAAUGUUGGGUUAAGUCCGCAACGAGCGCAACCCUUAUCCUUUGUUGCCAGCGGUUAGGCCGGGAACUCAAAGGAGACUGCCAGUGAUAAACUGGAGGAAGGUGGGGAUGACGUCAAGUCAUCAUGGCCCUUACGACCAGGGCUACACACGUGCUACAAUGGCAUAUACAAAGAGAAGCGACCUCGCGAGAGCAAGCGGACCUCAUAAAGUAUGUCGUAGUCCGGAUUGGAGUCUGCAACUCGACUCCAUGAAGUCGGAAUCGCUAGUAAUCGUAGAUCAGAAUGCUACGGUGAAUACGUUCCCGGGCCUUGUACACACCGCCGUCACACCAUGGGAGUGGGUUGCAAAAGAAGUAGGUAGCUUAACCUUCGGGAGGGCGCUUACCACUUUGUGAUUCAUGACUGGGGUGAAGUCGUAACAAGGUAACCGUAGGGGAACCUGCGGUUGGAUCACCU